rnacentral:rRNA from 1 species
GGACUACCGGGGUAUCUAAUCCCGUUCGCUCCCCUGGCUUUCGCGCCUCAGCGUCAGAAGAGAUCCAGCGCGCCGCUUUCGCCACCGGUGUUCCUUCCGAUAUCUACGCAUUUCACCGCUCCACCGGAAGUUCCGCACGCCCCUAUCUCCCUCGAGACAACCAGUAUCAAAGGCACUUCCACGGUUGAGCCGUGGGAUUUCACCCCUGACUUGAUCGCCCGCCUACGCGCCCUUUAAGCCCAGUGAUUCCGAAUAACGUUCGCUCGGUUCGUCUUACCGCGGCGGCUGGCAC